rnacentral:rRNA from 1 species
GACGAACGCUGGCGGCGUGCUUAACACAUGCAAGUCGAACGGAAAGGCCCUGCUUUUGUGGGGUGCUCGUGUGGCGAACGGGUGAGUAAAACGUGAGUAACCUGCCCUUGACUUUGGGAUAACUCCAGGAAACUGGGGCUAAUACCGGAUAGGAGCUCCUGCUGCAUGGUGGGGGUUGGAAAGUGCCGGCGGUUGUGGAUGGACUCGAGGCUUAUCAGCUAGUUGGUGAGGUAGUGGCUUACCAAGGCUUCGACGGGUAGCCGGCCUGGGAGGGUGACCGGGCACAUGGGUACUGAGAUACGGAGCAGACGCCUACGGGAGGCAGCAGUGGAGAGUCUGGCACAGCGAGCGGGAGCCAGAGACAGAGGCGCCGCGUGCGUGAUGACGGGCUAUGGGGGGAAAACCGCUUUCGACGGUGACGAGGCGUGAGUGACGGUAAUGGGUAAGGAAGCACCGGCUAACUACGUG